ensembl:lncRNA
CAAGCUUUAAAGCGUCUUUCAUCCCUUCGCCGAAUGCUAAACAGAAAAACGCAAAUGAGAAAACAGUUCAUUGAUUUCAUGCAAAGGAUGCUGGAAGAGAAACAAGCAGAGCCAGCACCACCAUUAAAGGAAGGCGAGGAAAGAUGGUAUCUACCUAUAUUUGGAGUAUAUCACCCACAGAAACCUGACCAAAUAAGAGUGGUAUUCGAUUCAAGCGCCAGACACGAAGGAAUUUCCCUCAAUGAUGUGCUUCUGAGUGGACCUGAUCUGAACAAUGCUCUUCUUGGAGUUCUCAUUCGGACUCCACUGCUUGUGCAAAAGAGUUCAUCACACGCAAUUUUUAUGUGGACGACGGACUUGCAUCAUUUCCUAGUGAAACAGAAGCCAUUAGUGUCCUGCAGACUUCCCAAAAGAUGCUAGCUAAAUCGAACAUCAAGCUACAUAAAAUCGCAUCCAACAGUAGCAGUGUCAUGCAGGCAUUCUCACCCGAAGACCUGGCCAAAGAUUUGAAAAACCUUGAUUUAGGAGUGGAAUCACUACCUCUUCAGAGGAGUCUGGGUUUAGUUUGGAACCUUGAGACAGACAACUUUAUGUUCUGUGUUUCAAAGGAGGAGAAACCUUUGACAAAAAGAGGCAUUUUGUCUGCAGUGAACAGUUUGUUUGACCCCUUAGGCUUUGUGGUACCAGUCACAGUGGGAGGAAGAAACUUGGUGAGGAACCUAUCUGUGGAACAGUAUGACUGGGACACACCACUGCCAGCAUCCAAGCAGGAACAUUGGACUCUCUGGAAAGACUCUAUGAAAGACCUAGAACAGCUCCAGAUUCCAAGACCUUAUGUUCCAGUUUCUUUAUCGAUGCAGACACAGCGCAGAGAGUUGUGUGUGUUUUCAGAUGCGUCAGUCAUAGCCAUAGCUGCUGUGGCUUACUUGAAGACAGUUUCUACAACAGGACAGUGCCAUGUGGGAUUCAUCAUGGCAAAGGCAAAACUUGCUCCACGCCCGGCACAUACUGUUCCUCGACUUGAACUUUGCGCAGCGGUCCUGGCGAUCGAGUUGGCAGACUUUAUUCAGGACGAACUGGACAUUGACAUUCAUUCUGUGAUGUACUAUACUGACAGUAAAAUAGUCCUGGGUUAUAUUCAUAACACUUCACGCAGGUUUUAUGUCUAUGUGGCAAACAGGAUAACCCGAAUCAGAAAGUCUUCACAUCCAGAUCAGUGGCAUUACAUCUGCACUGAAGAAAACCCAGCGGAUCAUGGAACUCGACCAACAACUGCUACAACCCUCAAAAGCACCAACUGGUUUACUGGACCUUCAUUCCUAUCAAAACCCCAAGAAAGCCACAGUUCUCAGACAGAUGUCUUCGAACUGCUGGAUCCAGAUAUGGAUCUAGAAGUUUGCCCCGAAGUGACAACCUGUAACACAGUUGUGAAAGAAGGUGGACUUGGAGUUCAGAGGUUUCAUAGGUUCUCCACUUGGAAGUCUUUGACUCGUGCACUCUCCACACUAAUCAAGAAGGCAAGAAGUGUUGCAAAAACACUUGGUGGUAACACAGGAGAUGAGGAGGCACAGGCGGUGACAAUAAUCAUUAGAACCACGCAACAAGAUGCUUACAAAAUGGAGUUUCUGUGUCUUGCCAAGGGAGAUCAAAUCUCCAAACAAAGUCCACUUCGGAAGCUGACACCCUUUCUGGACAAAGAUGGAUUAUUGAGAGUCGGUGGCCAUAUGUCUGCAACUGAUAUGUCGUUUGAGGAUAGACACCCUCUGAUUAUUCCCAAGCUGCACAUUGCUACAUUGCUGGUGAGAAAAUAUCAUGAGCAGUCUGCACACCAAGGACGACAUUUCACGGAAGGAGCUAUUAGAUUAGCAGGACUUUGGCUAAUUGGAGGGAAACGACUUGUGUCAAGUGCGAUACACAAAUGUGUAACUUGCAGACUGAGAGGUAAAAUGCAGGUCCAGAAGAUGUCAGACUUGCCACCUGACAGAGUGUCACCAGAGCCACCAUUUACUCAUGUUGGUUUGGAUGUUUUCGGACCUUGGAUGGUGACUGCCCGAAGGACAAGAGGAGGGCAUGCUGAAAGUAAACGAUGGGCCGUCAUAUUCACUUGUCUGAGCACUAGAGCGGUGCACAUUGAGGUCAUAGAGACGAUGACCACUGCAAGCUUCAUCAAUGGACUCAGACGUUUCAGUGCCAUUAGAGGGCCCAUUAAAACAAUUCGAUCAGACCAGGGCACAAAUUUCAUUGGAGCCUGUAAAGAACUCAAACUCAACACAACUGAUCCUGAGUUGAAGACAUACCUUAAAGACAACAAGAGCACAUGGAUAUUCAACCCUCCCCACUCUUCCCACAUGGGCGGAGUGUGGGAGAGGAUGAUCGGCAUUGCUCGACGGAUUUUGGAUGCUCUUCUCCUCAAGCUGAAUCCAUCGUAUCUCACACAUGAGAUACUAGUCACUCUGAUGGCGGAAGUCACUGCCAUUAUGAACUCAAGACCAUUGGUCUCAGUGUCCUCUGACCCAGAAGUGCCAGCAGUUCUUACCCCAUCAAUGUUGUUGACACAUAAAAAGGAUACAUUGGCUGCACCUUCUGGGGAUUUUGAUGUUAACGAUCUUUCCAACAAACACUGGAGGAGAGUCCAAGCCCUUGCUGAUG